ACUAGUUAAUAAUCUGUCAAGAAAGCACAGCUGCGUGAUGAAGUGGGAAGUCAAAAGUUCAGCAAGAGGAUUUAGUGACUGGCUUCUAAACAAAUAAAUUAUGGAAAAGGAAAGAUUUACAGUUGGUAAACCUGACAGAUGCCACUUUGACCACGUGAUCAAGGUUGCCAUCACUGGUGGUCUGUCAGGAGCUGUGAUGUGCCUCUGAUGUGAUGCAGUAAGAAGGACACUUACCUCUGCAGCAUUCUUCCCCCAAGUCCAUAACCCUGGUCUAAUCACAAGAAAGCAUCGGAAAAUCCAGACUGAUGGGAAUUCUACAGAACACCUAAUGAGUACAUCUCACAACUGUCAAGGUCAUGAAAGACAAGGGAAACCAAGAAACUGUCAGAGACUGGAAGAGAUGAAGGAGAUGUGACCCGCAAAGGUAACACGGAGCUAAAGAAAGACAGUAGUGGAAAAACUGGUGUAGUGCUAAUAAAAUCUGUAGUUUUGCAAAAUAGUAACGUCCCUAGGGGAAUUUUUAGUUUGGAUCAAUGCUCCAUGGUCGUAUGAGGCAUUAACAUUAGAGAAAGCUGGGCGAAAGGCGUAUGGGAAUUCUCUACGACUUUUGCAACUCUUCUGUAAAUAUAAAAUUAUUAAAAAAAAAAAUUCAGCAGGAGAAAUGCUGAGAGAAAAUGGGGAACAGAGGAUCUCAAAGUGGAAGGUGGAGGUCUCGGCUCCUGCACUGCUGGCUGGGCAAUUUUAGACAAGCUGCUGCACCUGACUGAGCCUCCACUUCCUCACCAGUCAAAUGUGCUUAAUAAUAGCUGCCUUAUAACUUGUCAGAUUAAAGAUUGUAUUAAUCAAGGUCCAGUCAAGAAAAACCACAUCAGUGGUUUUAACAGAGAAUUUAAUAGAAGGAACUGGUUAAACAGGCACUGGAGAACCACAACACAGAAAGGGGACCCUGUGUGGACAGAGUGUCCUCAGAAAGUGGCUCCCUCCCCCAGAGCUGGGGGAACCAAGGCGAGGGGUUGGGGUUAUCAGAUCCUGGGGGCCUCCUGAAGCUGGAAUCACCACUUCUACUAAGCACCUGCGCUAACCCUCCCCCUCUUGCUUUUAAAAAUAUUUAACAGUAUGGCUUAGCAGGGGAUAUGCACCUCUCGUGUUUAAAAGCAUUUAAAAUUCCAGUAAAUGGAAACUAUGGUUAGGGACUACGAUCUAUUCUACAAUUAUAACAACCUUUACCGCAAUGCUCAGAGCUGCCGUCUAAAGAUAAAGCAUGGGGCUGAUUCAUUUCUGUAAUAAUCAGCGCUACUGUUUCAGCUGAGUGAAGUGUGUGGCUUCAGGGUGCUUGCUAUUCACAUGUACUCAAGCUCUUUGCCCCAUGAGUCUCUGACUUUUAUAAAACACUUUCAUUACAAUUUAAGGCCGUUAUGCAUCUCUUUAAAAGCUGAAAAAGUUAACCAGACUUUUCUUUGAAAUGCAACACCGAUAUCUACGGUUUCCCGUAAGCUGGGGCGGACCCUGACAACAGGAAACAGAGAAUGACGAUCUCCAGGUCCAUCCAUGUUGCUGCAAAUGGCAUUACUUUAUUUAUUUUUUUUAUGACUUCAUAGUACUGUGAAGUAAUACUUACCAAGUUUAACUAGGAGCAAAGACCCUCUGGCCCUGCCAGUGAGCUGUGUGCAAGACUGAAAUGGAAGAAUGAAAACAAAAUUGAUUUAAUAAGGUGGAAGGGACACAAGGAGCUGAAAGAUCCAGGGUCCUGCCUCCAUUCUGGCACCAGCUCUGGUGUGUGAGACCUCGGAAAGAAAGAGCAGAUGAGCCAAUAGAAAAGAUCUGAACUGACAUUUCACAAAGGAGGGAUCCAAACGGCUGAUAAAUGUAUGUAAAGUGCUCAACCUCAUGAGUCACCAGGAAAAUGGAAAUUACUUCUGCAUAUACAUCAGAAUGGCUAAAAUGAAAAGGAUGGAAACUGCUAGGUGGUGGGGACUCCAGGCACUUCUGGUAGGUGUCAAGUUGGGAUAGUCGUUUUGGAAAGCUGUUUGGCAGUUACUGCCACGCAUACCGAGUGCCCCAGCAAUGCCACCCCUGGGCUCCUACCAAAUAUGCACACACAUGCUGAACAAGAUACCUACAGUGGAGUUAUGUUCAUGACAGCACGAUUCUUUUGUCUUUCUUUCUUUUUUCCCCCUUUUUUCUUUCUUUUUAUUGAAGUAGAGUUGAUUUAUAAUGUUGUGUUGGUUUCUGGUGGACAGUAUAGUGACUCAGCUAUACAUAUAUUC